GACCCCGUAGCUCAGUGGUAGAGCACUCGCCUUUUAAGCGAGGUGUCCCGGGUUCGAAUCCCGGCGGGGUCA
rnacentral:tRNA from 1 species